GAGGAGGUGCUGGAGGUGGCCCUCCACGCAUUGGAGGAGGAGGUGCCGGAGGAGGAGGUGGUCCGCGCAUUGGAGGAGGCGGUGGAGAUGGGGCUCCACGCAUAGGUGGAGGAGGUGGAGGCGGGGGAGAUGGGGCUCCACGCAUAGGCGGAGGAGGCGGAGGUGGUGGAGAUGGGGCUCCACGCAUAGGUGGAGGAGGUGGAGAUGGGGCUCCACGCAUAGGCGGAGGGGGUGGAGGCGGGGGAGAUGGGGCUCCACGCAUAGGCGGAGGGGGUGGAGGCGGUGGAGAUGGGGCUGCACGCAUAGGCGGAGGUAAGGAUCCAUGCAUUGGAGGAGGUGGCGGUGGUGGAGGAGGG
rnacentral:lncRNA from 1 species